AGAAUCAACGCUGGCGGCGUGCCUAACACAUGCAAGUCGAACGAGAAAGUGGAGCAAUCCAUUAGUAAAGUGGCGCACGGGUGAGUAACACGUGACUAACCUACCCUUGAGUGGGGGAUAACCUAGAGAAAUCUGGGCUAAUACCGCAUAAUACCUUCGGGUCAAAGGAGCAAUUCGCUUAAGGAGGGGGUCGCGGCCGAUUAGUUAGUUGGCGGGGUAAUGGCCCACCAAGACUAUGAUCGGUAUCCGGCCUGAGAGGGCGCACGGACACACUGGAACUGAAACACGGUCCAGACUCCUACGGGAGGCAGCAGUGGGGAAUUUUGCGCAAUGGGGGAAACCCUGACGCAGCAACGCCGCGUGGAGGAUGAAGCCCCUUGGGGCGUAAACUCCUUUCGAUCGGGACGAUAAUGACGGUACCGAGAGAAGAAGCCCCGGCUAACUUCGUGCCAGCAGCCGC
rnacentral:rRNA from 1 species